AUUGAACGCUGGCGGCAUGCCUUACACAUGCAAGUCGAACGGCAGCACGGGAGCAAUCCUGGUGGCGAGUGGCGAACGGGUGAGUAAUAUAUCGGAACGUGCCCAGUAGUGGGGGAUAGCCCGGCGAAAGCCGGAUUAAUACCGCAUACGACCUGAGGGUGAAAGCGGGGGAUCGCAAGACCUCGCGCUACUGGAGCGGCCGAUAUCAGAUUAGCUAGUUGGUGGGGUAAAGGCCUACCAAGGCAACGAUCUGUAGUUGGUCUGAGAGGACGACCAGCCACACUGGGACUGAGACACGGCCCAGACUCCUACGGGAGGCAGCAGUGGGGAAUUUUGGACAAUGGGCGCAAGCCUGAUCCAGCAAUGCCGCGUGCAGGAAGAAGGCCUCGG
rnacentral:rRNA from 1 species